rnacentral:rRNA from 1 species
UCGAACCCGGAGAUAGCUGGUUCUCCUCGAAAUAGCUUUAGGGCUAGCCUCAUACGAGUCUUGCGGAGGUAGAGCACUGAAUUCCUAAGGGGGCGUCAAAGCUUACUAAGGGAUAUCAAACUCCGAAUGCCGUGUAGAUGAUGUAUGGGAGUCAGACGAUCCGAGAUAAGUUGGGUGGUCAAAAGGGAAAGAGCCCAGACCAACAGCUAAGGCCCCAAAAUGUGUGUUAAGUGGAAAAGGAUGUGGGAUUUCGAAGACAACUAGGAUGUUGGCUCAGAAGCAGCCAUUCAUUCAAAGAGUGCGUAAUAGCUCACUAGUCGAGAGGUCCUGCGCCGAAAAUGUCCGGGGCUAAAACACACUGCCGAAGCUUUGGAAUUGAGAAUUCAAUUGGUAGAGGAGCAUUCUUAAAGGGACGAAGCAGUACCGUAAGGAGCUGUGGACUUUUAAGAAGAGAGAAUGCCGGAAUGAGUAGCGAGAGGAAGGUGGGAAUCCUUCCGGCCGAAUAUCUAAGGUUUCCAGAGUAAAGCUGAUCUGCUCUGGGUAAGUCGGGGCCUAAGGCGAGGUCGAAAGACGUAGUCGAUGGAUAACAGGUUGAAAUUCCUGUACUAUCCUGUAACAGAACUGUGGGGACACAGGCAGAGAGCGUGAGCCGGGAAUGGAAAGACCGGUACAAGCGAGGUAGGAGAAGAGUUGGCAAAUCCGCUCUUCAAUCUGAAGACGUGAUGUGGACUGAAAAUAAGUAGGGAAGCACGUGAGCUGACUGUCAAGAAAAGCCGCUAUUGUUUGCAGGAUACCCGUACCGUAAACCGACACAGGUGGAUGAGGAGAGAAUCCUAAGGCCGACGGGAGAAGCAUUGUUAAGGAACUCGGCAAAAUGACUCCGUAACUUCGGGAGAAGGAGUGCCAGUAAGAUGGCCGCAGAGAAUUGGCCCAAGCAACUGUUUAGCAAAAACACAGGUCUAUGCAAAACCGAAAGGUGAGGUAUAUGGGCUGACGCCUGCCCGGUGCUGGAAGGUUAAGGGGAGAGGUUAGCGCAAGCGAAGCUUUGAACUUAAGCCCCAGUAAACGGCGGCCGUAACUAUAACGGUCCUAAGGUAGCGAAAUUCCUUGUCGGGUAAGUUCCGACCCGCACGAAAGGCGUAAUGAUUUGGGCACUGUCUCAACAAUGCACCCGGUGAAAUUGAAAUACCAGUGAAGAUGCUGGUUACCUGCGCCAGGACGGAAAGACCCCAUGGAGCUUUACUCCAGUUUGAUACUGGGAUUCGGCAUGGUAUGUACAGGAUAGGUGGGAGACUGAGAAGGUAUGACGUCAGUUGUACCGGAGUCGCUGUUGGGAUACCACCCUUACCAUGUUGGAUUUCUAACCUGUGGCCGUAAGCCGGUCAGGGGACAAUGUCAGGCGGGGAGUUUGACUGGGGCGGUCGCCUCCGAAAGGGUAUCGGAGGCGCUCAAAGGU